GACGAACGCUGGCGGCGUGCUUAACACAUGCAAGUCGAACGGUAAGGCCCUUCGGGGUACACGAGUGGCGAACGGGUGAGUAACACGUGGGUGAUCUGCCCUGCACUUCGGGAUAAGCCUGGGAAACUGGGUCUAAUACCGGAUAGGACUCCUGGCUUCAUGGUUGGGGGGGGAAAGCUUUUGCGGUGUGGGAUGGGCCCGCGGCCUAUCAGCUUGUUGGUGGGGUGAUGGCCUACCAAGGCGACGACGGGUAGCCGGCCUGAGAGGGUGUCCGGCCACACUGGGACUGAGAUACGGCCCAGACUCCUACGGGAGGCAGCAGUGGGGAAUAUUGCACAAUGGGCGCAAGCCUGAUGCAGCGACGCCGCGUGGGGGAUGACGGCCUUCGGGUUGUAAACCUCUUUCACCAGGGACGAAGCGCAAGUGACGGUACCUGGAGAAGAAGCACCGGCCAACUACGUGCCAGCCGCCGCUGUAA
rnacentral:rRNA from 1 species